CACGGUGUAGCAAUACACGUGGUGGCGACCGGCGUACGGGUGCGUAACACGUAUGCAACCGUACCCGCUAGUUGGGGGAUAACCCGGCGAAAGUCGGACUAAUACCCCAUAUUAUUCUUACCGGGCAUCCGGUAGGUCUGAAAGAUUUAUCGAUUGCGGAUGGGCAUGCGGAUGAUUAGCUAGUAGGUGGGGUAACGGCUCACCUAGGCGACGAUCAUUAGGGGUUCUGAGAGGAAGGUCCCCCACACUGGAACUGAGACACGGUCCAGACUCCUACGGGAGGCAGCAGUGAGGAAUAUUGGUCAAUGGGCGCUAGCCUGAACCAGCCAAGUCGCGUGAAGGAUUGACAGAUCUAUGGUUUGUAAACUUCUUUUGCAGGGGAGUAAAGUGCGACACGUGUGUUGUAUUGCAAGUACCCUGCGAAUAAGCAUCGGCUAACUCCGUGCCAGCCGCAGC
rnacentral:rRNA from 1 species